rnacentral:lncRNA from 1 species
AGAAUGUGUAAAGUCUGUAUUAUUUGAUACUGUAUGUCUUUGAAAUGUGUCUAGGGAGAAUUAUUCUGUUCAUAGUUUCAUAUGACAUUAGUUUUUCAUUCUAACUCACAUUGACAUAGAAUAUUCUAGAGAAUCAAUUUUCACUACUAUUUAAUAUUCCAUUAUAUUAAUUUUUUUGAAUUCAUUAUCCAUUCUUGAAUUAAUGGCCACUUCCCCACCUCUCAAUUGUUUGUACUACUGCAAAUGGUAUUGUGUAACUGAACAUGUCUCUGCAUGCCUAGGUGCAAGAUAUUCUCUAUUUCUGGGAAUAUAAAAAGUGUGCUUUAUUUAACAUGUUUUAUUUAACUUUACAAAACAUGACAACAUGCUUUCCAACUGAUUAAGUCAAGUAAAUAAUUCCACUAACAGUUCAUGAGUGAUUUCAAAUGCUCUAUAUCUAGGACUACAAUGACGAUUCAGUAUUCUUUUAAUUUUGCUUGUCAGUUGGGUUAAAAUUUUAUCUCACUGUACAAUAUAGUUUCAGUUUUAACUUCUCUGGUUGCCAAGGAUGUUCAAGAUAUUUAUUGUAUUUAUAGGCUGCCAGUAUUUUUUGUAAGCUGUCUUUUGCCUGAUUAGCUACUCAUUUUGGCUGAUUAGCUAUUAUUUAUUUGUAACUGUAACUGUUCUUUAUAUGUUGUGGAUACUAAACCUUUUUCGCUGAAUGUAUUGCUUUUCAAUUUGUGGCUUGUUUUCACUCUCUUCAUGAUGGUUUUUGUUCAAUUUCUUAAUUUAGUUGAAUGUGCCCUUCUUUUCUUUUGGGUGUAUUUUUUCUUAUUCUUUACAAGGAAUUCUCCUGUAACCCAAGUUCGUGAAGAUAUACUCCUUUGUUAUUUACUAAAACUCUUAACAUUUUGAAUUUUGCACUUAAGCAUUUAAUCCAUUUGUAAUUUAUCUUAGCCUAUGCGGUGGGGAAGCCUUUUAGUACAUCUUUUUUUGUGUGGAUAACAUUUGUCACAGGAUAACUCAUUGUAUAUUACAUCACCCCUCAUAUAUAUGCAAUGACAGCUCUGUUAUAUGUCAAAUUCCUAUAUAUGCAGG